AGUCAAUAGAUACCCAGGUAGUCCACGCCGUAAACGAUGAGUACUAGGUGUAGGAGGUAUCGACUCCUUCUGUGCCGCAGUUAACACAAUAAGUAUUCCGCCUGGGAAGUACGGUCGCAAGAUUAAAACUCAAAGGAAUUGACGGGGGCCCGCACAAGCAGCGGAGCAUGUGGUUUAAUUCGAAGCAACGCGAAGAACCUUACCUAGACUUGACAUCUCCUGAAUAGUGUAGAGAUACAUGAAGCCCUUCGGGGCAGGAAGACAGGUGGUGCAUGGUUGUCGUCAGCUCGUGUCGUGAGAUGUUGGGUUAAGUCCCGCAACGAGCGCAACCCUUAUUACUAGUUGCUACCAUUAAGUUGAGCACCUC
rnacentral:rRNA from 1 species